GAAAGAGAACCUGAAACCGUGUGCCUACAAGAAGUUCGAGCCCGUUCAUGGGUGAGAGCGUGCCUUUUGUUGAAUGAACCGGCGAGUUACGUUUAUGCGCGAGGUUAAGUUGAAGAGACGGGGCCGUAGGGAAACCGAGUCUGCAAAGGGCGGCAUAGUACGUGGACCUAGACCCGAAACCAUGUGACCUAACCAUGAGCAGGGUGAAGGUGCGGAAAAGCGCACUGGAGGCCCGAACCAGGGCACGUUGAAAAGUGCUUGGAUGACUUGUGGGUAGCGGAGAAAUUCCAAACGAACUUGGAGAUAGCUGGUUCUCUCCGAAAUAGCUUUAGGGCUAGCGUCGAUUGAGAGAGCGUUGGAGGUAGAGCACUGUUUGAUUGAGGGGUCCAUCCCGGAUUACCAAUAUCAGAUAAACUCCGAAUGCCAACGUGUUAUAAUCGGCAGUCAGACUGCGAGUGCUAAGAUCCGUAGUCGAAAGGGAAACAGCCCAGACCACCAGCUAAGGUCCCCAAAUAAUUGUUAAGUGGAAAAGGAUGUGGGGUUGCACAGACAACUAGGAUGUUAGCUUAGAAGCAGCUAUUCAUUCAAAGAGUGCGUAAUAGCUCACUAGUCGAGUGACCCUGCGCCGAAAAUGUACCGGGGCUAAAACAAUUUACCGAUGCUGUGGAUACCUUUUAUAGCUAUGGUAGGACAGCGUUCUAUGUGCGCUGAAGGUGUACCGCAAGGAGCAUUGGAGCGCAUAGAAGUGAGAAUGCCGGUAUGAGUAGCGAAAGACAGGUGAGAAUCCUGUCC
rnacentral:ncRNA from 1 species